AGAUAGCAUUGGUGAGCGCAUGCCCUGAUGAUGGUCCACUUUCAUAAACUUAAAAUGGAGAAAACGAUGUCAGCAUAUGGGAUUUCAAGAGUCCUUGUCUAGUUGUGAUACCAUUGGAACUUAGGGCCCUUUAAGAUCUUCACCAGUUUCAAUGUGACACACGUGGCGUUAUCACUGGUCUGGAAUACUAGGAACGACUACCCCCAACCUCGCCCCAGCGCUGUGGUUGUGGAACGUGUACUAAAACACCAUCGUGCAGGCUACGAAAGGGCAGUUUUCCAGAAUUAAUGCCCGAACGCAGAUCCCAUCAAUCUUGGCCCAAAUGUCCAAGAUGUGAAACACUUAAUGCGCUAGCAAAGAGCCCCUGUUGCCACUUUCAUUGAUCGGACGUCCUAGCAGUCUGGGUUUUUAAGGACACAGCCUGUCUGCAAAAAUAUUUUAGAGAAUGUGGAACUGUUGUGAAGAGCGAUAUACAGUUGCUUUAUCCACAUUCAAAAUGCAGAUAAGUUUUCGCUCGCAAAACAUUGUUAUUAUCACCACUUAUGGUCGUCUGUGUUUUAUUUCAAUCUUAGUGAUGUAGUCAUUUUUCAAAUUUGUGCUUUUGAUGAUGUGGAGUUGUUUGUCAGUAUAACGUUUGAGAAGAUCAUAAGCCGCACACUAACCUCAAGUAACCCGCGCAUUACUAAUAUUACUAAUUAAUUAUGAUUUUCUCAAGUGUUCUAGUUGACAAACAUAUCCAAUUCAUCAUAUAUGCACUUUUUUCUCCGGACCCAAGAAUUCAUAUUGAAAUUUGCAUGGACGGUCAUACAGUGUAGUGUAAAAUAUGAAGUAUGUGUAAGCAAGCUUGCUUUUCUUGUAUCACAUAGGUAGUUGCGAUUUCAGGGCAAAAUUACAUUUGAGAAACUUCUGUUUUAAACAGUGAGAUGUCAAUUUCAAUCAUUGAGUUGUCUGGGUAAUAAUCAUAUUACCUGAACUUUUGUGUAUUUUAUCACGAGAGAGAACUAUACCAAGUUUUGAUGUAUGCUUUCCGUUAUAGAGGGUCGAGUUACUUUAUUUAUGACUUCAUAUCCCUAGAUGAAGUUAAAAUGAGUCUCAGUUCAAUUGUGUUAAUUAAGACACUAGUCAAUGUCAUGUCUUCAGUACCUCUUUCAGUAGGAAUUGCAUGUAUUAUUGUGCUUCAUCUUGUGUACCACUAUAGUGUAUUGAGGGAAUAGUUAGUAGUCACGAGAAAAAAGUUAUUCACUUACACAAUGCUGUCCAAAACGGGACGAUAUUUAUGAACUGUAAGGCACCGUGCCACUAAAAAAAACUGAAGUUAUCGUGUUUUUAAGACUGAAGUUUCCGGGCGUGGGCAUUUUCCCGGCAUUCCCCACGAAGGGUUUAGACGGGUUUUUCCCCACGGCCCGUGGGCAUCGGGUACUACCAUUUAUUGAUUCAUUGCAUUUACAUGAUUCAUUUAUGAUUACUCGAGUACUUGAAAUUGAAUGUUAUUGUAUACAAUAGUUGAAUAAAACUAUAUUCUCUAA